GAACUUAAUUUAUAGUCCUUUAGAGUUGAUUUGUUGAAAUUGUUUUUAUUAUAACCAGUAGGGGUCUCCUUUGAGGCUAAAUAAAGUUACUGAUCAUGUGGAGGGAAACAGGCUUUAUAAAACAGAGCAUUGAGUUUGUGUUCGUUUAAAGUUUCUCAUUCUACACAUCCUGUUCAGACCUCACACACACUGCUGUUCAUUCAUGUCAUUCCUCCAGCACUGAAGCAUCAACAUGAUAUUUAUAGUGUGCUUCAUUUAUUUAGCAGCACCUCCAUUCUGGGUCUCAGGUGAAUCACUAAGUGAUCAAGUUCGUCAGAAUCCACCUCAUCUGAUAACAAAUACUGAGAAAACAGUUCAGCUCAGCUGUUCUCACACCAUUAAAGACUAUAACAUGAUAUUAUGGUAUCAGCAGCUUAAGGGUGAUAGUGCUCUAAAUCUUAUUGGAAAUGUGUAUUACAAAGAUCCAACCACUGAAAACCAAUAUAAAAAUCAGUUUACCAUCGGAGGAAAUGGAGCAGAAUCCUCUACUCUUAAUGUAACAUUAGAAAGAGAACAUGUUGGGAGUACUGCAGUAAAUUACUGUGUUGCCAGUAAAGCACAGUGUGGAAGAUCCUUUAAUCACUCUUACAAAAACCUUCGGUUAAACCCUGUCACCACAACAUUAUUAGCACCUGAAUGCAAAAAUUACUGUUUUUGCUCUGUUCAGGACAAUGCAACCUGUUAAUGGAAACCUACAUGCAUUCAUUUCUGCUUUUCUUAGAUUUUAACAAAAUAACCCACUCUUCAAUCUAGGUUUUUUUUUUUUUUUUUUGAAGGUAGGACUAAUCUAUUCCAGCAUUAUGUCCAUUCCACUAGAUGUCCUCACAUGCAACUAUAGCUGCUAUGCAACCUGUUAAUGGAAACCUACAUGCAUUAAUUUCUCCUUUUCUUAGAUUUUAACAAAAUAACCCACUCUUCAAUCUAGGUUUUUUUUUUUUUUUUUUUUUUUUUUUGAAGGAGGGACUAAUCUAUUCCAGCAUUAUGUCCAUUCCACUAGAUGUCCUCACAUGCAACUAUAGCUGCUGAAGUUUUAUUACAUCACUUAUAACAAACAAAAAUAUAUGGUUUGCUGAUUUU
rnacentral:lncRNA from 1 species